rnacentral:lncRNA from 10 species
CAAGAGUCCAUUGCAGACAGUUUUGGAGAGGUCGGUACAGAUUGGCUUCAAAGAAUUUAGGAUUAAAAUGAGGGUGCAGAAAUACGCAUGGAUGGGAAGAACAUGCUGCUGAAAAUCAUGAAGCCUGUGUGCUGGUCUGGCGCUACCGUUAUCACGCUCAGAGACUAUGGGAGUGAGAGGCACCCUCUCUGGCCCUCCCAUUGCCUUAUCUGUAAAUUGCUGAUUUUUUUUUUUCCCCGAGAUGGAGUCUUGCUCUGUCACCCAGGCUGGAGUGCAGUGGCGAGAUCUUGGCUCACUGCAACCUCUGCCUCCCGGAAUCUAGCAAUUCUCCUGCCUCAGCCUCCCAAGUAGCUGGGAUUACAGGUGCCCACCACCACACCCGGCUAAUUUUUGUAUUUUCAGUAGAGACAGGGUUUCACCGUGUUAGCCAGGCUUAUCUCGAACUCCUGAC